rnacentral:rRNA from 1 species
GGUUUUCGGACCAAGAGACCGGCGCACGGGUGCGUAACGCGUAUACAAUCUACCUUCUACAGAGGGAUAGCCCAGAGAAAUUUGGAUUAAUACCUCAUAGUAUUACGACUCGGCAUCGAGAUGUAAUUAAAGUCACAACGGUAAAAGAUGAGUAUGCGUCCCAUUAGCUAGUUGGUAAGGUAACGGCUUACCAAGGCAACGAUGGGUAGGGGUCCUGAGAGGGAGAUCCCCCACACUGGUACUGAGACACGGACCAGACUCCUACGGGAGGCAGCAGUGAGGAAUAUUGGUCAAUGGGCGCAAGCCUGAACCAGCCAUGCCGCGUGCAGGAUGAAGCAUCUAUGGUGUGUAAACUGCUUUUGUACAGGAAGAAACACUCGGUCGUGACCGAGCUUGACGGUACUGUAAGAAUAAGGACCGGCUAACUCCGUGCCAGCAGCCGCGGUAAUACGGAGGGUCCAAGCGUUAUCCGGAAUCAUUGGGUUUAAAGGGUCCGUAGGCGGUUUAGUAAGUCAGUGGUGAAAGCCCAUCGCUCAACGGUGGAACGGCCAUUGAUACUGCUAAACUUGAAUUGUUGGGAAGUAACUAGAAUAUGUAGUGUAGCGGUGAAAUGCUUAGAUAUUACAUGGAAUACCAAUUGCGAAGGCAGGUUACUAUCAACACAUUGACGCUGAUGGACGAAAGCGUGGGUAGCGAACAGG